UAAGUAGAACAAAUGAUCGCGGCUGUACAGACGAAAGGGUACAGGUGAGGAAAGUCCGGGCUUCACAGGGCAGGAUGCCGGAUAACGUCCGGUGGAGGCGACUCCAAGGCCAGUGCAACAGAAAAUAAACAGCCCCGCAGUUUUGCGGAAGCAAUACUGUGGCGAAGCCGCUUUGCGGCUUCAGGACUUCCGUGCAAACAGAAGUCCAUGGUUAUGGUGGAAUGGCAGUGUAAGAGACUACCGCUGUCCCGGUAACGGGACAGGCUGUGUAAACCCCAUCCGAAGCAAGACCAAAUAGAAAGCAACAGGCCGGCCCGGUCUGCUUUCAGGUAGGUCGCUGGAGGUCUUCGGUAACGAGGAUCCUAGAUAGAUGAUCAUUCACGACAUAACCCGGCUUAUCGUUCUGCUUAUUUU
rnacentral:RNase_P_RNA from 1 species